UGGGUUAUGGCUCAGUGGCAGAGCACUUGCCUCGCACACGUGAGGCACUGAGUUCGAUCCUCAGCACCCUAU
rnacentral:tRNA from 1 species